AGCAGCCGCGGUAAUUCCAGCUCCAAUAGCGUAUAUUAAAGUUGCUGCAGUUAAAAAGCUCGUAGUUGAAUUUCGGGGUCAAUAUGUUGGUCGUGCCUCGGUACGUACUAGCUUAUUGGUUUCUCCCUUCUGACGAACCAUGAUGUCAUUUAUUUGGUGUUAUGGGAAAUCAGGACUGUUACUUUGAAAAAAUUAGAGUGUUUAAAGCAGGCUCACGCUUGAAUACAUUAGCAUGGAAUAAUGAAAUAGGACGUUUGAUUCUAUUUUGUUGGUUUCUAGGAUCGACGUAAUGAUUAAUAGGGAUAGUUGGGGGCAUUAGUAUUCAAUUGUCAGAGGUGAAAUUCUUGGAUUUAUUGAAGACUAACUACUGCGAAAGCAUUUGCCAAGGAUGUUUU
rnacentral:rRNA from 1 species